rnacentral:tRNA from 2 species
GGGGAUGUAGCUCAGCGGGAGAGCAGCGCCUUUGCAAGGCGAAGGUCGCGGGUUCAAAUCCCGCCAUCUCCAC